rnacentral:snRNA from 1 species
GGAUGCGAGGGUGAUCUGGCUGCAACAUCUGUCACCCCAUUGAUCGCCAGGGUUGAUUCGGCUGAUCUGGCUAGCUAGGCAGCUGUCCCCUUCCUCCCUCACCGCUCCAUGUGUAUCCCUCCCGAAGCUGCGCACUCGGUCGAAGAAGACCACCUUCCCCGCUAGAGGACUGGUCUUCGGUCAAGGGUAUAUAAGCAGCUGCGCUCCCCUGCUAGAACCUCCAAACAAGCUCUCAAGAGCUCUCUUAAGAGAUCCUAAAGGGAGCCAGUGGAAAGGAGAAGACACCAGAAAGAAACAGGUAGUGUCACUG